GUGGGGAAUAUUGGACAAUGGGGGGAACCCUGAUCCAGCCAUGCCGCGUGUGUGAAGAAGGCCUUUUGGUUGUAAAGCACUUUAAGCGAGGAGGAGGCUACCGAGAUUAAUACUCUUGGAUAGUGGACGUUACUCGCAGAAUAAGCACCGGCUAACUCUGUGCCAGCAGCCGCGGUAAUACAGAGGGUGCAAGCGUUAAUCGGAUUUACUGGGCGUAAAGCGCGCGUAGGUGGCCAAUUAAGUCAAAUGUGAAAUCCCCGAGCUUAACUUGGGAAUUGCAUUCGAUACUGGUUGGUUAGAGUAUGGGAGAGGAUGGUAGAAUUCCAGGUGUAGCGGUGAAAUGCGUAGAGAUCUGGAGGAAUACCGAUGGCGAAGGCAGCCAUCUGGCCUAAUACUGACACUGAGGUGCGAAAGCAUGGGGAGCAAACAGGAUUAGAAACCCCGGUAGUCC
rnacentral:rRNA from 1 species